CAGAAUCCUGCUUUGUGAUACUGCUGCCUGAGACCCGGAGUGUGUGAGACGGGUUUGGACUUCCAGAGCAGCUGCUUCUGAUACAAAGGCAGAACCUUAUCUCCCGGUUGCACUGAUCCAGUACUACAAACAACUGCCUUGUUAUAAUGCACAGAAUGUUUGGCAUCUGACAGCAGCCUCCAUAGAGAUGGAGCAGAAGGAAGGCGUAUUCUCUUCCAAUUUCAGCCGUUUUUUUCCUCUCCUCCUCCUUGCUUGUUUGCUAUCAGCUUGUAUUCCUUCCAUCUUCCUCCACACAGAUCUCUCUGGAACUCAUCCUAAUGAAUCAUUUGGGGAGCUGUGGUAAAAGGGAACUGCAUCCUUCCCUCUACUUCAUCCCUUCUUCUCCACAAAAGGUGUCUAUGGCUUCUGGACCUCUCUGUUCAGUAUGUGUCAUGUACCGUCUCCUGUGAAUCAAACACUGAGGACAGAAGGCCAUCACAGACACCAGUUGUAGACUUGGCUCCUUAGCUCAGGCUGCAGAGCCUCUUGCUUUUACAGCUGGAUGCUACCAACCCAGCUCCCAGGCUAUCAAAGGAACUUAAAAAGUACCCACUACAGGAUAAGGAAUCCUUCACCAUGUUAAAUGCAGUUAUACUGACAACAAAAGCCCAUGAGAUUGGGGCCUGCUACUAUGACCUGUUUGCCAAAUGGGAAAUUAAUAUUGCCAAGCUCAUGGAGUCCACCACAUGAAACUAAUGAGACUGGCUGAACAAUCACAGGAGUCUUUCAUAUAUAUAAAAGUUGGGGGCAUAAGUUGGAAUGCAGCCACAAAUAUAUAUAUAUAUAUUUGUAUGAAUGGGGAUGUUUUAAUUUGCCUUUUGUCUUCAGUCAAUGGACUGGAGAACACCAAAUAGGGUACUGUGACAGGGUGGUAACAGGACAUUCAAAAACUAAUUCUUCCCCACCAUGUUUUUGGGGCAGACUGUCCUGUACUCAUCUGCCAUGCCUUGCUGUUCUGGGCUGUGUGUGUGUGUGUGUGUGUGUGUGUGUGUGUGUGCGUGUGCGUGCGUGCGCGUGCGCACACAAAUACGUAUAUAUACACACUAGACUGCAGGAGGCUACCCUGAUCUUAUUGUUUUGACCACCCUCAUGGCCCUGGCCUUAUGGGUCAAUUGCAUGGCUCCUGCCUCCCCUACACCAUGUCCCAUGCCUCGCAGAUGGCAUUCUAAUAGUCAUGUCACAUCCAAUACACACCCACAGCUGGGCUGCAUUGCAGUUCGUGCCCCAAACUGGGCCACACUUAGUUGUCACAUCGAAUUACUCUUUCGUCACAGCUGUUCAUCAUAUCCAGUUCCCUCUAUCAUCUCAUCUGGUUCAGGCCCCAACCUGGCCAUCUCAUAACUCAGGCCGCUCCACCUCCCUAUUGGGGUGACUGGACCCCCAUGGUCCAGAUGGUCUUUCUUCCUGCCCAUUGCUUUCUGUUAGGGUGAGCUCCCUUAGCCUUUCUCCUCCACAGGGUAGCCCACAAGGCAGUGGGGGCUGAGACAUUCCAGUGCCCCACCUUCACCUUUCACUGGAGAGGCACAGGUGUGGCAUUUCCUGGGGGCUGCCACACCACAGGCAGUCCCACCACACCAAGCAACUCCAGCAAGGUGAAAUUUUUGGACUUGCCCAGGACUAACUCAUCAGGCAUACCUGGUCUUCCUAUACCUUCUAAUGGACCUCCUCUGAAGAUAUAACCCCUGUCUCUUGGGCUGAUGUCAUCAAUCCCUCUGACCUUGGAUCCCUUUCAUAGUCCUCCUGGCCCUAAUCCUCACUCGGACCCUCAUCCAAUAGUGCAACUCUUUGGAUGACUCUUACCGGUCAUUGUCACACAGGCUCAUGAUGGCCCUGGCCUCUACCUCUCUGCAGUGGUCCUACUAUGUCAGGAACUUCAGCCUCUCUGAGACCCUAGCACCAUUACCAGGCCAGUCAGGGUGCCAGGCCCUCCACGGUAGUGGCCACCCCUCACAGUGGACUUACUCUUUUCAGUCCUAACUGAACCCUAGCCCCCUGUUAGACCAGUCAAGGUCCUCGAGACCAGUCCCAUUGGCCAUCAGCCCUCCUUCAUCUUGGGUCUUCCUCCUUUGACCCCUACAAGUCCGUCUCUCUUCUUACAGAGUCUGGAACCCCUCCAAGAUUUUAUCACUAAUCCUCGGGUACACUCCAGCCUUGCACUCAACCUCCUGGGCCCUGGCCCUAGCUCUCCAGGCCCACUUGGUCAAUCCUUGUAGCCUGACUCAGCCUUGCUCAUGGGCUGGUCCGGUCCUUCCCUCUGGGCCCUAAUCAUCUGGCCCACUGUUCAUCCCAGGCCUCAGCUUUUCCCCAAGCUGGCCUGACUCUUCCCAGAUCCCGGUUUCCUCUGCCCCUCUCUGACAGGGCAGACCUGGCUUCACCCAGGGCCCUGGGCUUACAGCCCCCUUUUCCUUGUGGCUGGCCUGGCUCUUCCCAGGCCUCUGGUCUCCUCUCCCCAGACCACUCUCUCAGCCUCUUGGACCGGCUGGGGACCCCACCUUGGGUCGCUAGAAACCUCCACCUCCCCAGUAGUUCUUACCCUAUCCUCCAGCUACACAGAUGGCCUUCCAGAGCUGGGCUCUUCUCAGUGGUGAAUGCUGCUCUCAGCUCCUCUGGUGUUGCAGCCAUCUGGUUGCACUGAGCCUGGGCUUAUGCCCUGUCUCAGCCCAAGCUCUUGCCAGUCAGCCACCUCCUCAGCAGUCAUGUGAGGCCUCCUAAUUCACCCCAGCUGCCAGCCUCUCAGUCUGCUGACUCCUUAAUGGGAUCUGCCUCACCUGCUGGAGCUCUGCAUCCUUGCUGGCUCUCUCAAACUGGCAAGCAUGACCAGUGCUCUGCCACAGGUACAUACUUUUAAGAUAUAAAAAAGAGGAUCCAGGCAACUACAGGCCCAUUAACCUGACUUCAGUUACAUGCAAGGCUUUAGAACAAAUUCUGUAGGAAAGAAGAUGACAUGGAGAUAAAAGCAAUAUGGGAUAUGCAACUCGGAUUCACCAAAGAACUAGGCUGCUUUGAGGAUCUGUGUUUCGCUGACUUAUGGUUAUGGUUAUAGAGGCAGGCUGUGGAAAAGCUGGAGUUUUGUUUGAGGUACCUUGCAUCCCAGGCUUGUACCAUAACCACUGCAUCUCCCUUUCCCUCAUCAUUGAUGGCAGCCAUCAUAUAAGUACAGUUUUUCAAAGUGCUGAGUGACAAUAUGAAGUCAGUGGGUGACGGAGGCACUCAUGUACUCAUCCCUUUGCAAUUCUUGAGGGCAGGUUUCCAACAUGCAGGUGUAAAGUAACUUUCAGAUUUUAUUGUGGAAAUCACUCAUCUGUUAGAAAUAAUUUUCUUAGUAUCUCUUUAACAUAUGUAGCUAUGGGAAAUAGGGGGAGGGAGACGAUGAGAAUGAGUGAACUUCAACAAUUGCUUGCUCCUACCCACUCCUCCACACUGCAAAGCAUGGAAUUUUCUCUCAAACUGGAAUGCGGCCUACUUAAUAAGGCCACAGAAGCGAAGAUGCUGCAUCUGUAAUGUUUCUGUCAAAGCAAAUGAGGUCAUUAACAGACGAGUUCAGUGAUGGAAUUGUCUCUCAUAGUAUUUAUUAUAUGGUCCUUUUCCUGACACCUCCCACUGAGAGAAUAUUAAAUAUUUAAUGCACA